rnacentral:rRNA from 1 species
CGUAGGUGGCAAGCGUUGUCCGGAUUUAUUGGGCGGUAAAGACGAACGCAGGCGGGGAGAAUAAAGUCAGCUGUGAAAGCCCUCAGCUUAACUGGGGAACUGCAGCUGAAACUAUUUUUCUUGAGUGCAGAAGAGGAGAGUGGAACUCCAUGUGUAGCGGUGGAAUGCGUAGAUAUAUGGAAGAACACCAGUGGCGAAGGCGGCUCUCUGGUCUGUAACUGACGCUGAGGUUCGAAAGCAUGGGUAGCGAACAGGAUU